rnacentral:rRNA from 1 species
GGAUUUACUUUUUAAUUCUAAAUAAGUAUUAUAGUUUUGAGAACAUAAUUCAUCCCAUGGUGAGGGAAGUUUUAGGAAAAAUUACUGUAACCAAAAUUUUGAAUGUUUUUCAUCCAAUUUUUGAUAUUCAUAAAUAUGUCUUCUGCAAAAAUCAUCUAAAUUUAGAAUAUCACACAAUUUUAAUUUUGAUAAAAAAUGUUAAGCUUCUUGAUUGGGAUCUAGAGUUUUUGUAUUCCCAUAAAACUCAUUUUUUAAGAUUUGUGUUAAAUCUUUUAAAAGUUGAGGUAUAUUACUUGUUGCAAAAAGUGAAGAUUUCUGGGUUACUCCUAGAGUUGUUGUUUCCCAUUUUUUAAGAAAUUGUAGAAGUCUCAUUGCCAUGUGCCACAGAAAUAAUUAAAAAACCUUUCUUUGUUCCAGUUGUCUUUGUAAGCUGUGACAAUAAUAGACAUAAAUUAUGCCAAAUCAUCUAUGGUUUUUCCAUAGUCUUUGAAAGGGACUCUUGUUAGAUCUAAAUAAGUGUCGCAUUGUGUAAUAGUUUAUUUGUUUAAUGAAUCUAUGAUAAGGACUUAAGCUUUUACUUGGCUUGUUUGGCCAGGUUCUGAAGUUUUCUUAAUCUCAUCCUUUUUUAGGUGAGGUUUAUGCUGAGCUAAUUCUUUCAGAUAAUGUAAAUAAUCAGGAAAAUGAAAAAAAUCAUCAAUAUUUGGGUUAGAUAUAUCUAAUGCUUUUCUUUUACCACGAUCUUCUGUUUGAGGAUUUUGGUUUUGAGGUUCUGGAUCUAGUUGAUCUGCAGAACUUGAAGAGUCUUUAGAUGUGGUUUCAUCAAAAUAAUCUUAUUCAGAUUGGGAGUGGCUCCCUUAAGGGCUUUCCUCAGGUGAUGAAUAGUUAACUUAAAACUGGUACAGAUAAGGAGAAUCCCACUGUUUAAUUAAAACAAAGCAUUGCAAUGGUCUUUACUGAUGCUUACGUAAUGUGAUUUCUGCCCAAUGCUCUGUAUGUCAAAGUAAAGAAAUUCAACUAAGCGCAGGUAGACGGCGGGAGUAACUAUGACUUUUUUAAGGUAGCUAAAUACCUCGCCAUUUAAUUAGGGAUGCACAUGAAUGGAUUAAUGAGAUUCUCACUAUCUCUGUCUACUAUCCAGUGAAAUCACAGCCAAAGGAUCGAGCUUGGUAGAAUUAGUGGCAAAAGAAUAUCUUAUUGAGCUUAACUUUACUCUGACUUUGUGAAAUGACUUAAGAGCUGUAGGAUAAGUGGAAGCCCUUGGGCAAAAUUGAAAUAUCACUACUUUUAAUAUUAUUUUACUUAUUCUGUGAAUUAAAGGUGGGGUAUGACUUAUUUUUUUAGAUUCAAGGUUGGCCUUGAUUGAUCGAUCUAGAUGGAAGAUAUUGUCAAGUAGAGAGUUUGGCUAGGGUGGCACAUCUAUUAAAAGAUAACGCAUGUGUCCUCAUAUGAGCUUAAUGAGAAAAGAAAUCUGUUAUGGAACAAAAGGGUAAAAGUUAAUUUGAUUCUAAUUUUUAGUACGAAUAUAAACCAUGAAAACAUGGUUUAUUGAUCCUUUUGACCUUUGAAAUUUGAAGCUAGAGGUAUCAAAAAAGUUACCACAAGGGAUAAUUGGCUUAUGGUAACCAAGCAUUCGUAGCAACAUUGCUUUUUGAUCCUUCGAUGUUGGCUCUUCCUAUCGUUGUGAAUUAGAAUUCACCAAGUGUUAGAUUGUUCACCCACUAAUAAGGAACAUGAGCUGGGUUUAGACCAUCAUGAGAUAAGUUAGUUUUACCUUCUUGAUGGUAGCAUCACAAUCAUAAUUUAAUCUAGUAUGAGAGAAACCAUUGAUUUGCACAAUUGGUCAUCGUGCUUGGUUGAAAAGCCAUUAACAUGAAACUACCAUGUGUUGGAUUAUGAUUGAAUGCCUCUAAGUUAAAAUUCAAGCUAGAAGUGACACAUGCACAUAUCACUCAAUUGUAAACCUACAGUAAGGGCCAAUGACCCCGAAGGGCAUGUGUCAUAGGUACAGUCUCCGAGGCAGACAAGUUACGCAAGCUUUUUUAGAGCUUAAUUCUCACUGAA